GGGGGCCGCGGAGAGGGAAGGCCGCGUGAAAAAAUGAAUGAAAAGUGCAGCUCGCCUCCUUUCUCCCCCUCCCCCUCCCCCGCGCAGAGGCUGCCGGCAGAGCUGGUGAGCGAGCAGGGGCGGUGGGGAGGAGGAGGAGGAGGGAUGGAAAAAGAGCAAAACCAGGCGGUGAGCUCAGAGUUGCUCAGAACAUGUGCAGGGCUCCCCUUGCUCGCACCAGGAUCCGUUGGGGUUUUUUUUUUUUGCCCUCCGUUGGCAUUUAGUCCAUGCUGGAGGGAAGGGGGGGGCUUUCUGGGACAGCCAAGCUCGGCUGCCUGCUGCAAGGACCCCCCCGCCCCAUUGCAGAGAAGGCAAAGCAGCAGACCCAUCCUGGGGGGGAGAGGAGGAGAACCCGCGGCGUUUUCAAGGAGAUCGGCUAUUUCCCACCCCCAAGCAUGGCCUGGCCUGGGUGACAUUUGA
rnacentral:lncRNA from 1 species